UUGGGGAAGACCAAUUAUGAAUUUACUUAGGAGUCUGAAUUGUAGAAGAAUAACUGGAAACCAGACCACCUGGAUGCAGGUGAUGCAUCUAGAGCUUCAUGCAGCACGCUCCCCUGGUUCUCUCCUGACAAGAGAGCAGAUAUUCACUACAACCCAUGCAGAGACUUAGGAGGAGAUGGGGAAGUGUUUCACACAUGCUCUACAUGGUGAGGAGAUUCCUUCCUUCUCUGAGUACAGCAAAAUGGAGACGACCACUGCAGGCACAACCCAGAG